AGCGAACGCUGGCGGCAGGCCUAACACAUGCAAGUCGAACGAACUCUUCGGAGUUAGUGGCGGACGGGUGAGUAACACGUGGGAACGUGCCUUUAGGUUCGGAAUAACUCAGGGAAACUUGUGCUAAUACCGAAUGUGCCCUUCGGGGAAGGAUUUAUCGCCUUUAGAGCGGCCCGCGUCUGAUUAGCUAGUUGGUGAGGUAAAGGCGUCACCAAGGCGACGAUCAGUAGCUGGUCUGAGAGGAUGAUCAGCCACAUUGGGACUGAGACACGGCCCAAACUCCUACGGGAGGCAGCAGUGGGGAAGUCUUGCGCAAUGGGCGAAAGCCUGACGCAGCCAUGCCGCGUGAAUGAUGAAGGUCUAGGAUUGUAAAAUUCUUUCACCGGGGACGAUAAUGACGGUACCCGGAGAAGAAGCCCCGGCUAACUUCGUG
rnacentral:rRNA from 1 species